rnacentral:rRNA from 1 species
UACGAGGGGGGCAAGCGUUGUUCGGAAUUAUUGGGCGUAAAGGGCGCGUAGGCGGUGCGGUAAGUCUGAUGUGAAAUCUCCGGGCUCAACUCGGAGUCUGCAUCAGAAACUGCCGUGCUCGAGUGUGGGAGAGGUGAGUGGAAUUCCGGGUGUAGCGGUGGAAUGCGUAGAGAUCCGGAAGAACACCGGUGGCGAAGGCGGUCCGCUGGGGUGUUGCUGACGCUGAGGCGCGACAGCGUGGGGAGCAAACAGG